AGAGUUUGAUCCUGGCUCAGGACGAACGCUGGCGGCGCGCCUAACACAUGCAAGUCGAACGAGCGAGAGAGAGCUUGCUUUCUCGAGCGAGUGGCGAACGGGUGAGUAACGCGUGAGGAACCUGCCUCAAAGAGGGGGACAACAGUUGGAAACGACUGCUAAUACCGCAUAAGCCCACGGGUCGGCAUCGACCAGAGGGAAAAGGAGCAAUCCGCUUUGAGAUGGCCUCGCGUCCGAUUAGCUAGUUGGUGAGGUAACGGCCCACCAAGGCGACGAUCGGUAGCCGGACUGAGAGGUUGAACGGCCACAUUGGGACUGAGACACGGCCCAGACUCCUACGGGAGGCAGCAGUGGGGAAUAUUGCACAAUGGGGGAAACCCUGAUGCAGCGACGCCGCGUGGAGGAAGAAGGUCUUCGGAUUGUAAACUCCUGUUGUUGAGGAAGAUAAUGACGGUACUCAACAAGGAAGUGACGGCUAACUACGUGCCAGCAGCCGCGGUAAAACGUAGGUCACAAGCGUUGUCCGGAAUUACUGGGUGUAAAGGGAGCGCAGGCGGGAAGACAAGUUGGAAGUGAAAUCCAUGGGCUCAACCCAUGAACUGCUUUCAAAACUGUUUUUCUUGAGUAGUGCAGAGGUAGGCGGAAUUCCCGGUGUAGCGGUGGAAUGCGUAGAUAUCGGGAGGAACACCAGUGGCGAAGGCGGCCUACUGGGCACCAACUGACGCUGAGGCUCGAAAGUGUGGGUAGCAAACAGGAUUAGAUACCCUGGUAGUCCACACCGUAAACGAUGAUUACUAGGUGUUGGAGGAUUGACCCCUUCAGUGCCGCAGUUAACACAAUAAGUAAUCCACCUGGGGAGUACGACCGCAAGGUUGAAACUCAAAGGAAUUGACGGGGGCCCGCACAAGCAGUGGAGUAUGUGGUUUAAUUCGACGCAACGCGAAGAACCUUACCAAGUCUUGACAUCCCUUGACGAUGCUGGAAACAGUAUUUCUCUUCGGAGCAAGGAGACAGGUGGUGCAUGGUUGUCGUCAGCUCGUGUCGUGAGAUGUUGGGUUAAGUC
rnacentral:rRNA from 1 species